rnacentral:tRNA from 1 species
GUCCCCAUCGUCUAGCGGCCUAGGACCCCGCCCUUUCACGGCGGUAACAGGGGUUCGAACCCCCUUGGGGACGCCA